CGAGGGGAGCGAAGGGUCGCGGGCCGGCGCCGUCAGGCGCGCGGUCCGAGGAAAGUCCGAGCUCCGCAGGGCAGGGUGCCGGGUAACGCCCGGGCGGCGCGAGCCGACGGAAAGUGCCACAGAAAACAGACCGCCGGUGCCUUCGGGCGUCCGGUAAGGGUGAAAAGGUGGGGUAAGAGCCCACCGCCCGAGCUGGUGACUGCCGGGGCACGGUAAACCCCACCCGGAGCAAGGCCAAGCAGGGGAGAGUGGUGGCCCGCCGCGUGACCAUCCCCGGGUAGGCCGCACGAGGCGUCGGGCAACCGGCGUCCCAGAUAAAUGACCCAAUAAACAGAACUCGGCUUACGGCUCCCCUCGCGGU
rnacentral:RNase_P_RNA from 2 species